UGCAGUCGAACGGUAACAGGUCUUCGGACGCUGACGAGUGGCGAACGGGUGAGUAAUACAUCGGAACGUGCCCAGUCGUGGGGGAUAACUACUCGAAAGAGUAGCUAAUACCGCAUACGAUCUGAGGAUGAAAGCGGGGGACCUUCGGGCCUCGCGCGAUUGGAGCGGCCGAUGGCAGAUUAGGUAGUUGGUGGGAUAAAAGCUUACCAAGCCGACGAUCUGUAGCUGGUCUGAGAGGACGACCAGCCACACUGGGACUGAGACACGGCCCAGACUCCUACGGGAGGCAGCAGUGGGGAAUUUUGGACAAUGGGCAAAAGCCUGAUCCAGCAAUGCCGCGUGCAGGGUGAAGGCCUUCGGGUUGUAAACUGCUUUUGUACGGAACGAAAAAGCUUCUCCUAAUACGAGAGGCCCAUGACGGUACCGUAAGAAUAAGCACCGGCUAACUACGUGCCAGCAGCCGCGGUAAU
rnacentral:rRNA from 1 species